CUUUGUAAACUUGUUAUUCACUUGUACUGUAUGGUAUAGAUUCAGAUCGCUUUAUACGUGCACUGGAGCUUCCUCAAGUCCAGGAACACAUCAGAGAACUUAAAGAAAGAUUUGCUGGGCGGAAGUUUUAUGGUGCAACAACAUUUUUCAUUCAUAGAUCAGACUUUAGUGUCUCCUUGAUUAUGCUUUAUAUGAAGGUAAGAGCUUAAUGGCUCUUUAGUGUCUUGUUUUGUUUUGUUUCAGUAUGGAGCUCUCAGAAGGAAAAUUGGAUUCCAGUGUGGCGGACCUCAAGAGAGAAGCUUACCCUGUUUUGGACGAACUGGGUAGAAAUAGAGGACGCUAACAUCUAUUCUCUUGACAGAUUAGUGGGCAGUUAAAAUCCUUGCAAAUUGUUUCAAGAUUGACAGCAGAAAGAGAUGGUGAAAUUAGAAAAGUUG